AGAGUUUGAUCCUGGCUCAGGAUGAACGUUAGUAGCAUACCUAACAUAUGCAAGUCGAACGGUGAAAGGUGUAACCAGAAAGGAGAAAUCUGAGUAAGGUUGCCUUGAGUAGCAGUGGCGAACGGGUGAGUAAUGCUUAUCUUACCCACCAUUUAGUGGGGGAUUAAAUACCGCAUAUUCUGGCUUCGGCCAGGAAAGGACUUUAGUUCGCUGAAUGAUGGGGAUAAGUCGUAUCAGUUAGUUGGUAAGGUAAUGGCUUACCAAGGCCAAGACGCGUAGCCGGGCUGAGAGGCUGAUCGGCCACAAAGGAACUGAGACACGGUCCUUACUCCUACGGGAGGCAGCAAUGGGGAAUCGUCGGCAAUGGGGGAAACCCUGACCGCGUGAUGCUACGUGAAGGACGAAGGUCUACGGAUUGUAAACUUCUUUACUAAAGAGUACUGACGAAAGGAUUGCUUUUUAGCAAAAAGUCACGACUAACUAUGUGCCAGCAGUCGCGGUAAGACAUAGGUGGCAAACGUUAUCCGGAUUUAUUGGGCGUAAAGGAUGCGUAGAUGGUGAGACAAGUUAUUAGUAGAAAUCAAGCUCAACUUGAUGGAAGCUGGUAAUACUAUUUCACUUGAGGACAGGAGAAGUUGACGGAGGUCUGUGCGUAGGGGUGAAAUCCGUUGAUCCACAGGGAACCACCGAAGAAGGCGAAGGCAGUUAACUAUUCUGCUCCUGACAUUGAGGCAUGAAAGCGUGGGGAGCAAAACGGAUUAGAUACCCUAGUAGUCC
rnacentral:rRNA from 1 species